UUUUUUUUUAGUUUUUUGUUGUCAAUUUUGUAUCACUAAUCACGUUAUCAGUCGAGAGAGUUUAUUUUUAUUUUAACUUUCAUCCUUUUUAGUUGAAAACUAUAAUUGUGUCGGGUGCACACAGUGAAAAAAGACUGAAGGCCGCCGAAAACGUGAAAUGCUGCGUUGAAUUCGUCGCUUGUCGGGAUUGCUGUGCUAUGGACAAUAAUGGAAUCAAAAUUCAUGUCAAGCUUGACAAAUCUUGAAAACGUUUUCUGCCAAAUACAAUCAUGUUGUAUACCCAUUUUACGUGGAUGAAUUAUUAAAGUUCAUUCGAAAGUACUUUGCACCGGAUCAAGAAAACAAAAGUGAAUUAUCUGGCCUUUUGGAUGUCUACGACUGCACUUACUACUAGUAUUCUGAAACUAUUGAAUGAAGUGACUUUUUGCAAGAAAGCAGAACCAGUUGUUUUGAAAUGCCAAACACAAUGCUUAUAAUCUGUAUCAUCUGCCUAACGAUGAUACGCUGCUGUUAUCUUUCAAUGAUGACAUUGACUGAGCUUACUAUCCGGAAUUUCAGUUCAUUGGCUCUAAAAAUGACACGGCCACGACAGACAUGUUAUCGGAAAUUCGCAAGAACUACAUACAUCUCAAAUCAUCUGUCCGUCUAGAUUGAUGAUGAUAAAACGUUUUUGCUGCAUCAAGUGUUUGCAAGAUUACGAUUAUGAAAUGAUAAUUCAAAGAACCUUCGAUAAUAAAUCUUUAGUUUGAACACACAAAUAUCUUACCGACAGCGUCAAUAUAAUUUUUUAAUAAUAUUAGCGAAUACAUCAGGAAAGAUCCUGUCAGUCACCGAAGCGAGUUAUUUUUUUACGAGAACAGUAUCUUUCGUAAAAUGUCUUGUAUCGAGGCUCCCAAACAACAUAAAAUUUUCAUUGUUGUCAUAAAACCUACGAAUAACGACGGUUUAUUGCAAAUCAGCGAAAUAUCUAAAACACCGGAUGGCCAGUAUACUACCAGGAAUGCCACCGUUUACUUUGAAGAAACCGAAUACGAAACGUUCGACCUCAUAGAUUUACAAUUCUACACUCACGAAAUUACAUCAGUUCUACUAGAGAAAGAAGAUUGUUCACACUCCCCAACGAAAAUAUUCCGACUCAUUAUAAAUUAAAUCGAAUUCAAAUUGUGUUCUCAA